rnacentral:lncRNA from 1 species
CCUGCCUAGGAGCACGCCUGCCCCAGCACCCGGGCCUGAACGCAGCGAGAGCUCCAGAGCCUGCGAGUCCCAGAGGACCCCGUAUCUGACCAGUUUCCAACUCAUCUUCACUUGGGAGUUGGCUGUGAAGAGACAGGCAAGUCUCUUCAUCAAGCAGGAGGAAAACAUACAGCGGGAAGGAAAUAUGAAACGACCUCAUUUCUAGUUUAACCCUUUGGAUCUCCUUUGUACCACGUCUCCUUGGAUGAGAAGAGUCUCCCUCUCAUCAGCACAUUAAGGAAUCUACCAUACAACUUCAGUCUUCAGUAUUGCCAAAGACUAGUAACCUAUGCUCCAAGAGUUAAUGACUAUAAGUGCAUCACUGAAGCCUGUAGAAAAAGGCCCUGAUGCCUCCUGCCCUAAUAAUUUGGCUAAAAAUGUGAGAUAGCACCUGUGUUCUCCUGCAAAUAUGUGUAAGACCAAUUGAUGACUAUGUGCUUCAAGAAGCUUCUUUGUACCAUGUCUCCCUAGAUAGG